AGAGCGGUCAAGGUGGAGCUGUUCUUCUGUAUGGUUCAAGAGAAAUAAAGAGAGGAAAAUAUGAGAAGGUUGCAGAUGUGAAGGACACACCUUUUCCAUGGGAGGCCGGCAGACUGAUUUCAGUGCAGAGAGAACCUAGACAGGACUACAGAACUAAAUAAAGUCUCAGAUGGAUG